rnacentral:misc_RNA from 1 species
AGCAGCCGCGGUAAUUCCAGCUCCAAUAGCGUAUAUUAAAGUUGUUGCAGUUAAAAGCUCGUAGUUGAAUUUCGGGAUUGACACAUCGGUCGUGCCUUAAGGGGUAUGAACUGGUGUAGUCAAUUUCUCACCUUCUGGAGAACCGCGAUGCCCUUAAUUGGGUGUCGCGGGGAACCAGGACCUUUACUUUGAAAAAUUAGAGUGUUUAAAGCAGGCAUUUUGCUUGAAUACAUUAGCAUGGAAUAAUAAAAUAGGACGGCAUGAUUCUAUUUUGUUGGUUUCUAGGAUCACCGUAAUGAUUAAUAGGGAUAGUUGGGGGCAUUAGUAUUCAAUUGUCAGAGGUGAAAUUCUUGGAUUUAUUGAAGACUAACUACUGCGAAAGCAUUUGCCAAGGAUGUUUUCAUUAAUCAAGAACGAAAGUUAGGGAUCGAAGACGAUCAGAUACCGUCGUAGUCUUAACCAUAAACUAUGCCGACUAGGAAUCAGACGAUGUUAAUUUUUAACUGUACUUCGUUGGCUA